rnacentral:misc_RNA from 1 species
UCCGAUUUGUCACCGGCAGUCUCCUAUGAGUCCCCGUCUUUCACGCUGGCAACAUAGGACAGGGGUUGCUCUCGUUGCCGGACUUAACCGAACACCUCACAGCACGAGCUGACGACAGCCAUGCAGCACCUGUCUCCAGGUUCCCUUUCGGGCACCCCUCCAUCUCUGGACGGUCCGCCGUUGUCUAGCCCAGGUAAGGUUCUUCGCGUUGCGUCGAAUUGAACCACAUGCUCCACCGCUUGUGCGGGCCCCCGUCAAUUCCUUUGAGUUUUAGCCUUGCGGCCGUACUCCCCAGGCGGGGUGCUUAAUGCGUUAGCUUCGGCACGGACGGAGUCGACACCGCCCACACCUAGCACCCAUCGUUUACGGCGUGGACUAC